AGUGAACGCUGGCGGUAGGCCUAACACAUGCAAGUCGAACGGCAGCACAGUAAGAGCUUGCUCUUACGGGUGGCGAGUGGCGGACGGGUGAGGAAUACAUCGGAAUCUACUUUUUCGUGGGGGAUAACGGAGGGAAACUUACGCUAAUAGCGCAUACGACCUACGGGUGAAAGCAGGGGAUCUUCGGGCCUUUCGCGAUUGAAUGAGCCGAUGUCGGAUUAGCUAGUUGGCGGGGUAAAGGCCCACCAAGGCGACGAUCCGUAGCUGGUCUGAGAGGAUGAUCAGCCACACUGGAACUGAGACACGGUCCAGACUCCUACGGGAGGCAGCAGUGGGGAAUAUUGGACAAUGGGCGCAAGCCUGAUCCAGCCAUACCGCGUGGGUGAAGAAGGCCUUCGGGUUGUAAAGCCCUUUUGUUGGGAAAGAAAAGCAGCAGGUUAAUCCCCCGCUGUUCUGACGGUACCCAAAGAAUAAGCACCGGCUAACUUCGUG
rnacentral:rRNA from 1 species